UAAAGGAAACACCGACUUUAAUUAUUUGACAUAAUAAUGACUUAAGAGAUGGCAGAAGACAAUUGAUAAUAAUUGGGAGACAGUGUAGGUAAGGUAUGGAUUUAUCUUGAACUCAAGAUACUUAUGAUGUUCUAUUAGGUUGGUGCAAGGCAAGCACAUUAUCACUCCAGAAAAGCAGUCCUGGCUUAGCCAGUUCCCUUCCAGAAGGACCACGUGGUUUUUGGCCCCACGGAGCCCUGCAGGGUAGGGGGGCUCAUGGUCCCGAUUUGCCUCGGGACUCAGGGGGCUUCCGAGAUGCAGGAUCUCCCGGGCUCGAAACGGGACAUCAGUGGACAAACGGGAGCGAGGGUCGAACGCGCAGCUCCGAGGAAGAGGAACUUAAAGAACACGGGCCCAGCAGGCUACACCAGGAACGCGCGGGGCUCUAGGGCGCGUCCGACUCCUCCCGCCCUUCGCAGAGGAGGAAACUGAGGCACGGCGACUGUCUCAACGCAGUCCCGGCCCUGCCCUCCGCGGCCUCCCUCAGGCGCGCUCCCGCGCGGCCGGUUC
rnacentral:lncRNA from 1 species